UGCAUAUUUAUUUUCAUAAUUCAAUUUUUUAUUAUAUAAAAAACCUUACUUUUAAAUCCAAUUUUAAAAUUUUUUUCAAAAAAAAUCCAUAAAUAAAUUUAUUGUAAUACAUUUUAACUUAACUAUAACCUGCACCUUGACCUGACUUCUAUUCAUAAAAAUAAUUAAAAUAUAUUUUAAAAAAAUUUUUUUAGACGGAGAUAUACAAAAUAAAUUAAAUUAAGUAAGAUAGUUGUGGAUUAUCAUUUAAAAAACAUAUUCCUCUAAUUAGAAUAAACACCGCCAAAUUCUUUAAGUUUCCUGCUCAUAUCAUUUACUACCUUAAGUUUAAAUUUAUCUAGAUA
rnacentral:rRNA from 1 species